AGCUGAAUUGGGGACAAUGAGAACUGCUCUGUUGAGUAAGAAGGUGCCAUUUUUACAUAGUCACUUUGCUGACCAUAUCCACACUUUCAUAGUACAGGCUAUUACAGUUGUUAAGUUGAAACGCCAAACAUGAGCACAAAUAUGAGGCCUAGUCUUAUGACCUCUUCCUAUGUGAAUAGUUUCACUAAAGUCAGUAUAACUAUUAAUGGAAAUAACAGCUGCAAAAGCAAGUUCUUAGAAUCUUGCAGAGACUGAUUCUCUUCUCGUACUAGUUCGCUGGUGUAACUCCACUGACUUCAGUGAAAUCACGCCUUUUUUUUACACUGGAGUGAGAUGAUAAUCAGGCAGUGAGGAAUGUGUGGAGAAAACUGGAUCUGAUGUCUAGAAAAUUGGACUCCAGAUAUGUUGGGACUUGACAGAGGAUAGCUGUGUCAUGGUAGAAUGUGUUUUGUAGUUCCCAAGGAAAAAUGUGGGACAACAAGAUAACUGAACUAUGGUUAUCUUUAAAAUGUUGGAUUUGUGUAAUGAGGAACAGAUCUUGACAAUAGCAAGGCAAAAAAAGACACAACUAAGAGAAAAAAUGUGACUCUUGUCAACUUGAGACCUGCUGUGGAGGGUAAAGAUAAAGCUAGUUCCCUCAGUGAGGAAACAGAAGAUGCCAGUUCGUGCCCUGCAAAGCUCAAGGCAAAAUUUAACUCUAAGUAUUUUUUGGCAAGUGUUUCAUGGGAAAAUUUCUCCAGAAAUGUGGACAAGGAUUCUAAUGGAGGAAAGAGAAGUCUUUUCUUUAGUUAGUCUGUUCUUUAAAAUCAUAUUGUUUGUUUGGAUUACCAUAAUCUUGAUUUCUGAAAAUAGUGAAAAGAUACAAUUGUCAGCUUGACUUAAAAUAUGCGGUCACCAACUGCUGAACUGGGUGCAAACUGUGAUCUAUUACAAAUAUGGGACUAACACUAAUGGUACCUCAACUUCUUACGUUCCCGUAUGUACAUGUUUCAGCAGUUCUACAUGUCUAGAACACCGGGAGGACACAGAGGACAUUAGAAAAUGCUGCUGAUGUUAUUCCUCAGAAGAGUGGACAACCAGAAGUUUGAAAUAAUAACCCAAUAGAGUUAAUGACUAUGCCUGGUAUAUUAUAGUAAUGGAUUGUCAAUACUUUUAGUUUCGAUAUCCCAAAUUAAUUAAUAUAUUUCUACAAUAUACUUUUUUCCUUAAUUUGUUAUAAGAAGGGUAGAAAAGUACUUUGUAUGACUUUGUAAUGCUGUCUGAAUUCCUGAAAAAACAGUAAAUACAAUUAACUAUAUAGUUUCUCAUAUCUAAUGUGUCUAAGAGGACACUUAAAAGUGUGAUGUGUAAAUUAAUACAACUGGACAGCAGCUUAGUCGGAGAAAGAUUAUCUAUCUACUUGUCUGGGAAUUGAUUCAGCAUCUCUUUUCCUGGGUCAUGGGUGGAUUAAGUCAAUCCAAGAUGGAAUGACACUAACAGGUUAAAUUCUUAUGCUAAAAUUAUAGAGUUACAUUCUUUUUUUUCUCUCUCUCAAAAUAGAACCACACACUAAAUUCAUUUCUGUAACUUACUGUACAUCCAAGAUUUCUGUUCUCCUUUCCAGAGCACUUUAAAAGAGUUCAAACAUUAUUAUGAUUUGCUUACAGUAGAGGAAAUAUUUGUAACAGAUAUGCAGAAAUAAUUAUAAAAAACCUGAAAGAUGUUUGUCUGAAGUAAACUAAUCUUCUUAUCAACAUAAUGGUAAUUUAGACCAUCUGUGAAGGUUAGAUUUUUCAGUCAUCAGACUGAAAUCAUAUAGAUAGUAGAGCUGGUCAGAACAUUGUCAAAACAGUAUUUUGUUGGAAAGUGCUGUUUUGACAAAACCAAAACUUUUCACAAAAUUACAUCAAUUUUGAUGCAAGUUUAAUGUCCAAUCCCAUUUGACAGCUUUGGAAAACAUGUUUUGAUUUUUCUAUCCAUAACAACUUUUUAUUUAAAAAUUUACUUCUGUCCCACAAAAAAUUUCAAGAUUUUACAAACAAAUCCCAAAUCAGGUUGAAAAGCCCAAAAGUUCAAAAUAUUUCACAAAACAAAAUUCUGAAACAAAUUUUGUUUUGGGUCGAUUGAAACGUGUGCUUUGGUUUCACUUUUUUUCUGUUAAAAAUAUGGAUAUGAUUUUUCAAAAAUGGUUGCACCACAGAUAUUUCUGUAUGUGAUAUUUUUAAAGAGCUUUUUCAUAUGAUAUGAGGGAUGUUGUCUUAAUCAUCUUUGUGGUAAAAACUAGCUCUCCAGGAAACUUGCCAGGCAUUCUUCUAGAAUAAAAAAGCUAUCACUGUGUGUAUUUUUUUAAACAAAAUUCAUUUAGUGUACCACAUCACAGGUACAAAAGGGCAACAAUUGUUCAAGCUCCCCUAUAACCCACACUGUUUCAAAAAUGAAUCUCCAACAGGAGUUUGGAUCUAUUUCUUUGAAAUGGUUGAAAAGAGGAGUGUUAUGUGGCACUCACAAAUUAUGUGCUGGGUAUCUCAUUUAUGUAAUUUUAUAAAUGCAGGAAUAGAAUUGCAAUGUUAUUUAGGGUGCAGCAUUAUCUGUUGUUACAUAGAAAAAGUCUUUUAAAAAUUAUCUUUUUAGGCUCAUGCCUAAUUUAGUGAUCUAAUGACAUCUUUUCAUGAAAAUACCCUAGAAUUGUAUUACUGUUCUUAAAAACUCCUACAUAAACUUUGUGUUUCCUGUUUUGUUGAUAACUAUCUUCAAAGGCAUCUCAAACUACAGAAUCUUCACUUUAAAAGUUGAUCUGCUUGAAGGGACUAACAAUUCAAAUUCUAGAAUGGAAUAGCUAGAUCUUUCUUUCCACUUCCCUUUUAAAUCUGUAAGUGAUACAGUAUUGAGUAUGUUUUUAUCAUGUGCAGAAGUAGGCAUAUAUAAUCCUUCUAAAGGUUUUUAUGUUGCAUAAUACAAAGGCAGUCCUACGUUGCUUGUAUGGAUUUUUUUGACAAAAAGGUUGAGUCUUCUCCAUUCAGUUCUCAAUACAGCUCAAGAUUCCCUUACAGCAAUCAAUAAGAUUGAGGGUAUUUCAAAUCGAAUAAAACAUGAUACUUAGAAUAUAUACUUAGAUUAGGAGAUUAUUGCUGCAGGGAAUGUAGCUUUUCUCUUUGCUGUAAUUAAAAGUAGUUACAAUGUCUCAUAUUUUAGCAUCCUUCAUUUCACAAAUUUUCAAAUCAGGGUGCCAUCCCAUCAGUUAUGAAGUGUGAGUCAAAAUGAAUAAGGAUGGGGUCAUGCCAAAAUGUGUGAGUUUGUUCAUUGUGUGCAAAUGUCUGAAAGAUGAAAAGAUUAAUUAAGAAAUGACAUAAAUCCUGUAAAAAGACUGAACCAGCAUCUGGUUAUUUCCUUCAUAAAAUUGCUACUAUAAGAAGAUGGAUUCUACUAUGGAACUCAACUGGCUGUACUCCACUGCCUCUCUAUUGACAUUAAUGAGAGCUGAAUCAGCUGCCCUUAAUGGAACUGAAAAUAUGCAAUGGAGAUAUUUACUAGGAGAAAUCUUUUCUCAACUAAUUCCUGGGCUUGACAGGGAUGAUGCAAUCCAACUCGUUCUUUUCUCCAUUUUAAUGUGUAUGAAAUAAACAAUUUUUUUUCUCUCCUA